rnacentral:rRNA from 1 species
UUAUCCUACGGGAGGCAGCAGUGGGGAAUAUUGCACAAUGGGGGGAACCCUGAUGCAGCAACGCCGCGUGAAGGAAGAAGUAAUUCGUUAUGUAAACUUCUAUCAACGGGGAAGAAAGAGAUGACGGUACCCGAGUAAGAAGCCCCGGCUAAUUACGUGCCAGCAGCCGCGGUAAUACGUAAGGGGCGAGCGUUAUCCGGAAUUACUGGGUGUAAAGGGUGAGUAGGCGGCUGGGCAAGUCAUAUGUGAAAUACCGGGGCUCAACUUCGGGGCUGCAUAAGAAACUGUCCAGCUAGAGUGCAGGG